UACAGAGGUCUCAAGCGUUGUUCGGAUUCAUUGGGCGUAAAGGGUGCGUAGGUGGCGGGGUUAGUCAGGUGUGAAAUCUCGGGGCUCAACCCCGAAACUGCACUUGAUACUGCCUUGCUAGAGUACUGGAGAGGAGAUUGGAAUUUACGGUGUAGCAGUGAAAUGCGUAGAUAUCAGGAGGAACACCGAUGGCGAAGGCAGGUCUCUGGGCUGACACUGACGCUCAUGCACGAAAGCGUGGGGAGCAAACAGG
rnacentral:rRNA from 1 species